AUUCAACUGAUGAAUCGCCGAUAAGACGAAACACCUGUUCUGAAU
rnacentral:hammerhead_ribozyme from 1 species